ensembl:snoRNA small nucleolar RNA SNORA48
ACACCCUGGCAAUGGGAAAAGAAACACCUUCUUGGUGAUGUUGUUCUUACAUCAGUCAGGGCCAGAGCACAGAGUAGGCCUUUGUUCAUCCUAGCUUGAUGCCUGGCUUGAUGGCCAAAGCUAUUUCAUGCCUAGGGUACAUUA